rnacentral:SRP_RNA from 2 species
GCCGGGCGUGGCAGCGCACGCCUGUAAUCCUAGCUACUUGGGAGGCUGAGACAGGAGAAUCACUUGAACCCAGGAAGUGGAGGUUGCAGUGAACCGAAAUCAUCCCACUGCACUUCAGCCUGGGCAGCAGAGUGAGACUCUGUCUCAA